rnacentral:rRNA from 1 species
GUAGGUGGCAAGCGUUGUCCGGGAAUUAUUGGGGCGUAAAGCGCGCGCAGGCGGUUCUUUAAGUCUGAUGUGAAAGCCCACGGGCUCAACCGUGGGAGGGUCAUUGGAAACUGGAGAACUUGAGUACAGAAGAGGAAAGCGGAAUUCCACGUGUAGCGGUGAAAUGCGUAGAGAUGUGGAGGAGCACCAGUGGCGAAGGCGGCUUUCUGGUCUGUAACUGACGCUGAGGCGCGAAAGCGUGGGGAGCAAACAGGAUUAGAUACCCUGGUAGUCCACGCCGUAAACGAUGAGUGCUAAGUGUUAGGGGGUUUCCGCCCCUUAGUGCUGCAGCUAACGCAUUAAGCACUCCGCCUGGGGAGUACGGCCGCAAAGGCUGA